UAGGGAAUAUUGGGCAAUGGGCGCAAGCCUGACCCAGCAACGCCGCGUGAGGGAAGAAGGUUUUCGGAUUGUAAACCUCUGUCCUAUGUGACGAAGGAAGUGACGGUAGCAUAGGAGGAAGCCCCGGCUAACUACGUGCCAGCAGCCGCGGUAAUACGUAGGGGGCGAGCGUUGUCCGGAAUUACUGGGCGUAAAGGGUGCGUAGGCGGUUUGGUAAGUUGGAUGUGAAAUACCCGGGCUUAACUUGGGGGCUGCAUCCAAUACUGUCGGACUUGAGUGCAGGAGAGGAAAGCGGAAUUCCUAGUGUAGCGGUGAAAUGCGUAGAUAUUAGGAGGAACACCAGUGGCGAAGGCGGCUUGCUGGGCUUUUUCUGACGCUGAGGCUCGAAAGCGUGGGGAGCAAACAGGAUUAGAUACCCUGGUAGU
rnacentral:rRNA from 1 species